rnacentral:rRNA from 1 species
CUAUGCGCCUUGCCAGCCCGCUCAGGUGUGCCAGCAGCCGCGGUAAUACGUAGGGGCGAGCGUUAUCCGGAAUGAUUGGGCGUAAAGGGUGCGCAGGCGGUCCUGCAAGUCUGGAGUGAAACGCAUGAGCUCAACUCAUGCAUGGCUUUGGAAACUGGAGGACUGGAGAGCAGGAGAGGGCGGUGGAACUCCAUGUGUAGCGGUAAAAUGCGUAGAUAUAUGGAAGAACACCAGUGGCGAAGGCGGCCGCCUGGCCUGUUGCUGACGCUGAGGCACGAAAGCGUGGGAGCAAAUAGG